ensembl:lncRNA
UUUUUAACUUAAAAAAAAAAAAAAAAAAUAUUAAAUUACGCUUGUUUAAGUUCAUGUAUAAACCAGUAGUCAAUUAUGUGAACCCUUUAAUCCAGUUCCUUACGCCAGGUCUUUUAAUAUGUAUAUAUAUAUGUGCUAAGAAAAUAGCCUUUACUUUUUUUCUUUUUUUUUCUUUUAUCUUUGCUUUUUUCUUUGCUUUUUUCUUUGCUUUUUUCUUUGCUUUUUUUUUUUUUUUUUUUUUUUUUUUUUUUUUUUUUUUUUUNNNNNNNNNNNNNNNNNNNNNNNNNNNNNNNNNNNNNNNNNNNNNNNNNNNNNNNNNNNNNNNNNNNNNNNNNNNNNNNNNNNNNNNNNNNNNNNNNNNNUUUUUUUUUUUUUUUUUUUUUUUUUUUUUUUUUUUUUUCUUUUUUUGUUGUCGAAUUUUAAUUGUAAAAAUAAAAAAAAAAUUGCUUUAUUCUUUCAUAAAAAAGAUAUUUCAUCAGACAUAUAUAUAUCUACGCAUACAUCAUACAUAAACCAUAUGUUUUUAUUACAUGUCAUUUUUUUUUUUUUUUGAAAAUCAAAAAAAUUAAAAUAAAAAAGUAACAAUCACUAUUUUUUUUUUUGCAUAAUAUUUCGUUUAAGCCUAUUUUAAAAAUUAUAUUUCAAAAAAAAAAAAAAAAAAAAAAAAAAAUGUAAAUAUAUAUAUAUAUAUAUAUAUAUUUUUUUUUCCCUUUAUAAUGCAUGUAUACACAUAAAAAUAUACGUAGACGUACAAGCAAAGAGCGUUUCGAUUUGGUGUUAUUUUAUUUUACUUUAUUAUAUCUUUGAAAGCUAGUUAAAUUCUUACACAUUUAUACCACAUACAAUGAAGAAUGUUUCAAUUAAUUUAAAGUGUUUAUUGCUGAAAAACAGUUUCUUUUUUUCUUCAAUAUUCCCUACUAAAUUUUCUUUUUUUUUUUGUUUUCAGAAAUUUAAUUAUUUCCAUUCACAAAAUAUUUUAAAAAUUAAAAAUAACUUAAAAAAUAAAAAUAACUUAAAAAAUAAAAAUAGCUUAAAAAAUAAAAAUAGCUUAAAAAAUAAAAAUAGUUUCAAUGAUCAUAAUAAGUGUAAUAAUAAAAGUCAUUUAGUUAGUGACAUAUUAAUUAUUAUAACUCCGUUUGUUGUAUGUUGUGAAAAUGUAGAAGAUCGCGAUGAACUUUUAAAUAUGGACUCUGUAGACCAUUUCUCAGAACAAAAAAAAAAAAAUUAUAAAAUUUUAAAUUUAGUAUAUUAUCAAAAAUUUAUUAUUGAACCUUUUUUUUUUUAUCUUAAACAGUCCAUAACACUUGUUGUCUAUUCUUUCAUUAAUUUUUAUUUAUUUUUAAUUAACAUAUUUUAUUACGUUUCUAAGUCUAUAAAUAAAAAAUGUAUAGAAAUGUCAAACCAAAAUUUAGUUUCUUGUUCUCCUCCCCUGGAUAAUUUAUAUAACAGUUUUGUUACUAUUUAUACAAUACAUAAAAAAAAUAAUAUAUUAGAACAUACGUUUAAAAUACAAAACCUGAAGUUCUUGGGCUCUGGAUUUAUUUAUGACAAAAAAGGAUAUAUACUAACAGCUGCGCAUAAUAUAACGUCCUUAGAUGAUAUAUUUGUUGCUAAAAAUUGUGACAAGUUCUAUUUAGCAAAUGUAACCGGUUUGCACAAAGGUAAAAACUUUUUUAUAUACAAAAAAAAAAAAAAAAAAUAAAUCACAUGUAAAUAGUGCAUACAACGUGUCUUUUUUUAUUCGUAAUAAUAAUAGUAAUAACAGUAAUAAUAGUAAUAACACUAAUAGUAAUAAUAGUAAUAAUAGUAAUAAUAAUGAUAAUAUGCUUAUAGAAAAAAAAAAAUACCACAGAACGAUAAAACAGACUUGUUAUGUGUUUUACAUAUUUAUUUAUUUAUUUAUUUAUUUAUUUUAUUUUAUUUAUUUUUUUUGUUUUUCAAACAUUUGUAAUUACACACAUAUAAAUUCAAUCAUUUCAGAGUCUGAUGUUUGUGUUAUGAAAAUCAAUUCGAAAGAGCCGUUUUCUCACAUAUCUUUAGGUAAAUAAACACACUUUAUAACUUAAAUAAUAUAUGCUU